CCGCACCGCCGCCGGCCACCGCCGGUCGCCGCCGUCGCCGGAAUCCGGAUUUCAACCAAAAUUUCCAGAUUUUCUUCUCUUCCUUCCCUCUUUCCAUUUCUCCAACCAAAAUCAAGAAAUUUAGCCAUUCACUCACCCAAAAACCCUAGAACCUGAAGCCAAAAUUGGGGUUUUUGUGAUUUCUUCUUUCCAAGCUCAAAUCAAGGCUACGGGUUUGACAAGGAUUUUUGGUAAGGAUCUAUCCAUGCAACCUUGUUUUCGAGUUUUUGGUUGAGAUGUUGAUUAUGGACGGAUUUGUAGGUGAAGAAGGCCAAGGAGAAGGUAUAUGACGUGGUUUUUGAAGGAGAAAGGGUAAGGAAUGGGUUUUGGACAAACCCUAGAAUUUUUGGAAUUUAUUUGAUUGAUUUGGUUUAUGUUGAGCUAUUGUUGUUGUUGGAAAAAUUGUGAAAUUAGAGAUUUGAGGAUGGAUAAAUUAGUAGGAUUUUAUUAGCAUAAUUUUCUUAGUGUUGGAA